GACGAACGCUGGCGGCGUGCCUAAUACAUGCAAGUAGAACGCUGAAGGAGGAGCUUGCUCUUCUGGAUGAGUUGCGAACGGGUGAGUAACGCGUAGGUAACCUGCCUGGUAGCGGGGGAUAACUAUUGGAAACGAUAGCUAAUACCGCAUAACAGUAGAUGUUGCAUGACAUUCGCUUAAAAGGUGCAAUUGCAUCACUACCAGAUGGACCUUCGUUGUAUUAGCAAGUUGGUGGGGUAACGGCUCCCCAAGGCGACGAAUCCUAGCCGGCCUGGGAAGGGUGUCCGCCACACUGGGACUGGGAACAGGGCCCGGCUCCCAACGGGAGGAGGAGGUAGGAAACUUUGGGAAAGGACGGAAGGCUGGACGGGGCAACGCGGCUGGAGUGAGGAGGGUCUCGGGUUCGUAAGCUCCGUUGUUUGGGGAGGACGAAUGUUGGAAGGGAAUGUGCACGCUGUGACGGUACCUAACCAGAAAGCGACGGCUAACUACGUG
rnacentral:rRNA from 1 species